GCGAAGAAUGAAGGUCAGAGAAGACCAAUUUUCUUGUGCUCGACUGAUUAAAUUAAUUGAUUGAUUCGCGGAUCAAAUAUGUUCGUCGGUCUUCGUGAAAAAAUAGUAGUGCACUACUUUUAUACUACUUUUUCAUGAUGGAUGUCCUACGUCACGUGCACUGCAUCUGAUCACCCUACCUUUACUUAAAUUGUUUAUAUACAUCCGAGUUCUGACAUUAUAGUGUCUAGAUUCCAGUUGGUAAAAUUAUCAUACUCAAGACCGGAUACAAUGCCCUUCUUUAAUCUUCAAAUUCUUCGCAAAGGACUUAUUGACGAAGCUCAAGAGAAUUCGAAACCACAAUUAAGAUUUUAAAAUCUCAAAAUGAUUCAGAAUUCCUUGUCUAUGAUUUACACGUAUUAUUCAAAAUUUGUGAUCCCGAUACGUCCCUAUCUUUCUUCAUUUCAUUGAGAUUUUAUCAACACGAAAGAGGAGGAUUUGCGCUCCGGCUGAAGUACCGAGAAAAUAUUAUUUCCUAUUCGCAGAAGAUUCGUGGAAAUAUAAUGAAAAAUACGUAAGUACU